rnacentral:rRNA from 1 species
GACGAACCGUGCGAACGUUGUUCGGAAUAACUGGGCUUAAAGGGCGCGUAGGCGGGCUAUCAAGUCUGGGGUGAAAUGCCGCGGCUCAACCGUGGAACUGCCUCAGAUACUGACGGCCUCGAGGGAGGUAGGGGCAUGCGGAACUGUAGGUGGAGCGGUGAAAUGCGUUGAUAUCUACAGGAACUCCGGUGGCGAAAGCGGCGUGCUGGACCUCUUCUGACGCUGAGGCGCGAAAGCUAGGGGAGCAAACGGG